rnacentral:rRNA from 1 species
GGGUUGUGAGGUUAAGCGACUAAGCGUACACGGUGGAUGCCCUGGCAGUCAGAGGCGAUGAAGGACGUGCUAAUCUGCGAUAAGCGCCGGUAAGGUGAUAUGAACCGUUAUAACCGGCGAUUUCCGAAUGGGGAAACCCAGUGUGAUUCGUCACACUAUCAUUAACUGAAUCCAUAGGUUAAUGAGGCGAACCGGGGGAACUGAAACAUCUAAGUACCCCGAGGAAAAGAAAUCAACCGAGAUUCCCCCAGUAGCGGCGAGCGAACGGGGAGGAGCCCAGAGCCUGAAUCAGCAUGUGUGUUAGUGGAAGCGUCUGGAAAGGUGCGCGAUACAGGGUGACAGCCCCGUACACAAAAGCGCAUGUGCUGUGAGCUCGAUGAGUAGGGCGGGACACGUGGUAUCCUGUCUGAAUAUGGGGGGACCAUCCUCCAAGGCUAAAUACUCCUGACUGACCGAUAGUGAACCAGUACCGUGAGGGAAAGGCGAAAAGAACCCCGGCGAGGGGAGUGAAAAAGAACCUGAAACCGUGUACGUACAAGCAGUGGGAGCACAGGUUUACCUGUGUGACUGCGUACCUUUUGUAUAAUGGGUCAGCGACUUAUAUUCUGUAGCAAGGUUAACCGAAUAGGGGAGCCGGAGGGAAACCGAGUCUUAAUUGGGCGUUAAGUUGCAGGGUAUAGACCCGAAACCCGGUGAUCUAGCCAUGGGCAGGUUGAAGGUUGGGUAACACUAACUGGAGGACCGAACCGACUAAUGUUGAAAAAUUAGCGGAUGACCUGUGGCUGGGGGUGAAAGGCCAAUCAAACCGGGAGAUAGCUGGUUCUCCCCGAAAGCUAUUUAGGUAGCGCCUCGUGAAUUCAUCUCCGGGGGUAGAGCACUGUUUCGGCUAGGGGGCCAUCCCGGCUUACCAACCCGAUGCAAACUGCGAAUACCGGAGAAUGUUAUCACGGGAGACACACGGCGGGUGCUAACGUCCGUCGUGAAGAGGGAAACAACCCAGACCGCCAGCUAAGGUCCCAAAGUCAUGGUUAAGUGGGAAACGAUGUGGGAAGGCCCAGACAGCCAGGAUGUUGGCUUAGAAGCAGCCAUCAUUUAAAGAAAGCGUAAUAGCUCACUGGUCGAGUCGGCCUGCGCGGAAGAUGUAACGGGGCUAAACCAUGCACCGAAGCUGCGGCAGCGAACGUAUCACUUAAAGCGAUUCAGCGGGUUACGAUUGACGGAGCGAAGCGACGUCAAAGCGUAUACAAAGUCGAGUCGGUUUAAGGAUACGUUCGUUGGGUAGGGGAGCGUUCUGUAAGCCCGUGAAGGUGGCCUGUGAGGGUUGCUGGAGGUAUCAGAAGUGCGAAUGCUGACAUAAGUAACGAUAAAGCGGGUGAAAAGCCCGCUCGCCGGAAGACCAAGGGUUCCUGUCCAACGUUAAUCGGGGCAGGGUGAGUCGACCCCUAAGGCGAGGCCGAAAGGCGUAGUCGAUGGGAAACGGGUUAAUAUUCCCGUACUUGGUGUUACUGCGAAGGGGGGACGGAGAAGGCUAUGUUGGCCGGGCGACGGUUGUCCCGGUUUAAGCGUGUAGGUGUGUGUUCCAGGUAAAUCCGGUUCACUUUAACACUGAGGCGUGAUGACGAGGCACUACGGUGCUGAAGCAACAAAUGCCCUGCUUCCAGGAAAAGCCUCUAAGCAUCAGGUAACAUCAAAUCGUACCCCAAACCGACACAGGUGGUCAGGUAGAGAAUACCAAGGCGCUUGAGAGAACUCGGGUGAAGGAACUAGGCAAAAUGGUGCCGUAACUUCGGGAGAAGGCACGCUGACACGUAGGUGAAGUGAUUUACUCACGGAGCUGAAGUCAGUCGAAGAUACCAGCUGGCUGCAACUGUUUAUUAAAAACACAGCACUGUGCAAACACGAAAGUGGACGUAUACGGUGUGACGCCUGCCCGGUGCCGGAAGGUUAAUUGAUGGGGUCAGCGCAAGCGAAGCUCCUGAUCGAAGCCCCGGUAAACGGCGGCCGUAACUAUAACGGUCCUAAGGUAGCGAAAUUCCUUGUCGGGUAAGUUCCGACCUGCACGAAUGGCGUAAUGAUGGCCAGGCUGUCUCCACCCGAGACUCAGUGAAAUUGAACUCGCUGUGAAGAUGCAGUGUACCCGCGGCAAGACGGAAAGACCCCGUGAACCUUUACUAUAGCUUGACACUGAACAUUGAGCCUUGAUGUGUAGGAUAGGUGGGAGGCUUUGAAGUGUGGACGCCAGUCUGCAUGGAGCCGACCUUGAAAUACCACCCUUUAAUGUUUGAUGUUCUAACGUGGACCCGUAAUCCGGGUUGCGGACAGUGUCUGGUGGGUAGUUUGACUGGGGCGGUCUCCUCCUAAAGAGUAACGGAGGAGCACGAAGGUUGGCUAAUCCUGGUCGGACAUCAGGAGGUUAGUGCAAUGGCAUAAGCCAGCUUGACUGCGAGCGUGACGGCGCGAGCAGGUGCGAAAGCAGGUCAUAGUGAUCCGGUGGUUCUGAAUGGAAGGGCCAUCGCUCAACGGAUAAAAGGUACUCCGGGGAUAACAGGCUGAUACCGCCCAAGAGUUCAUAUCGACGGCGGUGUUUGGCACCUCGAUGUCGGCUCAUCACAUCCUGGGGCUGAAGUAGGUCCCAAGGGUAUGGCUGUUCGCCAUUUAAAGUGGUACGCGAGCUGGGUUUAGAACGUCGUGAGACAGUUCGGUCCCUAUCUGCCGUGGGCGCUGGAGAACUGAGGGGGGCUGCUCCUAGUACGAGAGGACCGGAGUGGACGCAUCACUGGUGUUCGGGUUGUCAUGCCAAUGGCACUGCCCGGUAGCUAAAUGCGGAAGAGAUAAGUGCUGAAAGCAUCUAAGCACGAAACUUGCCCCGAGAUGAGUUCUCCCUGAGACUUAGAGUCUCCUGAAGGAACGUUGAAGACGACGACGUUGAUAGGCCGGGUGUGUAAGCGCAGCGAUGCGUUGAGCUAACCGGUACUAAUGAACCGUGAGGCUUAACCUUACAACGCCGAAG